ensembl:ncRNA C16B8.10 ncRNA
CACUUUUCCGAAACUUUAGCCGCGUGUGAAUUGAAUAAAUCAACUAAACUCUUGUGGUCUUUCAAUUCCUCUCGUGUUGGUUCGGCACUCAAAGCGCGUGGCUUCUUGAAACCGUUCUGGAUUUUUGAAGAUAUCGGGAAUUCAAUCUCG